rnacentral:rRNA from 1 species
CGUCUAUAUACGUAUAGCAUAUCAAUAAGCGGAGGAAAAGAAACUAACAAGGAUUCCCUUAGUAACGGCGAGUGAAGCGGGAAGAGCUCAAAUUUGAAAUCUUCAAGGUUCUACCUUGACGAAUUGUAGUUUAAAGAAGUGUUUUCUGUUAGAGGAGUAGCAAAAGUUCCUUGGGAUAGGACAUCAUAGAGGGUGAGAAUCCCGUAUUUGGUUAUUCUUUCUAGCUUUGUGAUACACUUUCAAAGAGUCGGAUUGUUUGGGAAUGCAGUCCAAAAUGGGUGGUAAAUUUCAUCUAAAGCUAAAUAUUGGCGAGAGACCGAUAGCGAACAAGUACCGUGAGGGAAAGAUGAAAAGAACUUUGAAAAGAGAGUUAAACAGUACGUGAAAUUGUCAAAAGGGAAGCGUUUGACACCAGUGUUGUUUUUCCGAAAAUCAAUUAAGAGUGGCUUGAUUUUGUGUUGUAUUGACCUUAUCAGCUUUCUUCACUCUUUUUCGAGUCUUUCUUAAUGCACUUUUCGGUUAACAAGUCAACAUCAAUUUCUUUUGUUGUAAAAAGGGUAUUUGGAAGGUGGCUUUCUUUUCGGAGAAAGUGUUUAUAGCCUUAUACCUCUACAAUCGGAGAGAUUGAGGUCUGCAGCGUAGAUCCUUCGGGGCUAGAUACACUUGUGCUAAGUUAUAGCUUUUCAUAGACAACUUGUUGACUAUGUUUAGUCAUGUAGCUUACCCGCUUGUGCUAUUUUACCUACGCUUAGGAUGUUGAGUCAUCACACAUCUCU